AACGAACGCUGGCGGCAGGCCUAACACAUGCAAGUCGAGCGAGGACUUCGGUUCUAGCGGCGGACGGGUGAGUAACGCGUGGGAAUGUGCCCUUCUCUACGGAAUAGCCCUGGGAAACUGGGAGUAAUACCGUAUACGCCCUUUUUGGGUAAGAUUUAUCGGAUAAGGAUCAGCCAUCGUUGGAUUAGGUAGUUGGUGGGGUAAUGGCCUACCAAGCCGACGAUCCAUAGCUGGUUUGAGAGCAUGAUCAGCCACACUGGGACUGAGACACGGCCCAGACUCCUACGGGAGGCAGCAGUGGGGAAUCUUAGACAAUGGGGGCAACCCUGAUCUAGCCAUGCCGCGUGAGUGAUGAAGGCCUUAGGGUUGUAAAGCUCUUUCAGCUGGGAAGAUAAUGACGGUACCAGCAGAAGAAGCCCCGGCUAACUCCGUG
rnacentral:rRNA from 1 species